AAGAUAAAAUUUGAUUUUAAAAAAAUUUAAUUUUUAAACUAGGAUUAGAUACCCUAUUAUUUUAAGCUUAAUGUUGGUAGUAAGUAAAAUUUAUGAAAUCAUAAAAUUUUGGCGGUAUUUUAAGCUUGUUAGAGGAAUUUGCUCUAUAAUGGAUACAACGCCUAUAUCUUACUUAAUUUUGUAAUUAAAGUCAGUUUGUAUACCCCUAUAUUUAAUUAUAUUGAAUAAUUAUAUUUAAGAUUUUUAUAUAAAUAUAUAUUAAGUCAAGGUGCAACAAAUAAUUA
rnacentral:rRNA from 1 species